rnacentral:sRNA from 1 species
GCUGGGUAUGGUGGCGCAUGCCUCUAAUCCCAGCAGCUUGGGAGGCUGAAACAGGAGGAUGGUGAGUUCAAAGCCAGCCUCAGAAACUUAGUGAGGUGCUAAGCAACUCAGUGAGACUCUGUCUCUA